UAAGAGCUACGGUUCCUUAAUCGACUACAGAGUUUAAUUAGAAAUAUACAAGCAAGGACGUAUGUUAGGAAAAAUUGAUUAAUUGUAAUUAGUAACGGACUGACGAGAAAAUAAAAAUUACAAGCAACUGCAAUACCAUUAGGAGGGUACUCGUGUGAUUGUAUAUAAGUCCAAUGAUAUGGCUUAGUUCCUCACUGUGCUCCCAGUAGGUAAACAACAUGAAGUUCGUCGUGAUAUUGAUUUUAUUCGGAUUGGUUGGUGGAAUUAUCUGUGAAUUUAUUUAUAGCCCGCACUCGAAACGGCUAAGUCAUAAACACAAAAAACGCUUGCACGGCUAUGACGAUGUCGAUUGUCGUAAACGCUGUCCGCGGCCGCAUCCUCCGUACCAUCCUUUCUGUGCCAGUAACUAUCGCAAUUAUCUCACAGAGUGUCUGAUGAACUGCGACAGCAGGGGCCUCGGUCUCUACAAGACACGCGACGGCCCAUGUUAGGUUGAAACACUCGUGUGUGGCUAAUAAACACCUACAUAUGU